rnacentral:lncRNA from 1 species
CUGAGGAAAACAACACUUCCAGCUGCCGGUUUUUGUCAUCGUCACCAUCAAAUGAAGGAGGAGCUGACGACGACUCAAGCUCGGGCUGAAGUGACAGCUUACACCAGGCCUAGCCACCGCACUCAACCACCAUAAUUUUCGCCGCCUUGCUCAAUCCUAAUCUCCGAUUUCGGGCGACUCCCUCAACUCACCGUUGCUGCCAAUGUACUCAAGCUGAUCUGGGCUUCAAGACUCUGAAGUUCGAUCACCAACCAACACCGGGAAACUGAAGCACGCCCCAUCGCCGGAGCUAGGUUUCUGCAAUCCUUCAAUUUUCUCUCUACGGUCAUAAUGGAGCUCCAACACCUCCUGAAAUAGAAUCAACACUUCUUCUUUCACCAAAGCCCCAAUUCCCGACCUUCAAUUCCUACCAGAGCCGAAGUACGCGUCGUCGCUGGUACGUGAACCACCGCAACUUCGCCGUCAGUUUUCUAGGCUUCUUGAUUUGUAUUUGGAAUCGAGAAUUUGGGAAGUUUUGGAGGAGUGGAGCUGCUAGGUCAGUUUGGUUUAUGUUCAGGAUUGGAUUCCAAAGGAUUAAUGGUGGUCGAAUGCAGUUCCAAUGAAUUAAUUUCUAAAUUGGAAAAGAAGAAGAGAAAAUUAUACAAACAAUAUCCGAACUAAGGGUCACUAUUAACUUCAGUACCCGACUAUGCAAAACUAUCACUUUGGUACUCCAAGUUUGAAGCCCGACCCAAUAAUGAUACACUCCGUUCAUGACGGCGUUAACUAGCUAACCACAUGGCAUAUUUUGAGGGGCAAGGAUGCUAGUUGAGCUCUGGCAAAGAUGACUGAGAAUGAAGAAGACAUCGAUCACCGCCAACCGCCAAGGCCUCUUUAACAAAGAGAUCGGGAGACCAAAAACAAAAAUCACAGAGCAAAAAUUGUGGCCCUGAGAAAGAGAACCCGAGCCCUAAAGCCAUAGAUGGCAAUCCAUGGUGGAUCUGAAUCUGAAAACGACGGUGUUUGCUGCGAGGAAUGUGGGUCCGGCCACUUACCGGCGGAGCUUCUUCUUUGCGACAGGUGAGACACAGGGCACCAUCUGUUUUGCCUAGGACCCAUCUUGGUUAAUGUGCCAAAAGGCUCUUGGUUUGGGCCUUGUUGCUCCAAACAGAAGAAACACAAGUGUGAGAUUCAUUAAUUUGGCUUGUUUUGUUGGUUCAGAUUCGGAUUUGGUUCAAUAAAUUUUCAGGGAUUUUGUUGUUGUGUAAUUGAGUGGGUUUUUGUU